UCUUUGAAACAUAACUAGUGAGGCUGGGUGUGGGAUGGCUCACGUCUGUAAUCCCAGCACUUUGGGAGGCAGAGGCAGGCAGAUCACCUGAGGUCAGGAGUUUGAGACCAGCCUGGCCAACAUGGUGAAACCCUGUUUCUACUA